AAAAAAAACAUAGAUACACAAGAAGCUCCCAACAACGUCUCUCAUGAAGUCUUUGACAUUGUUUUGAUUCGGAAAACUUCUGCUUUGCUUUUAGGAGGGUUUUGAAAUUUGAAGAAUUUUGGGUGCACUUGAUAGCAAAAACGAACGCGAACUACCUUGUUUCCCUCUUCUCAGCUUCAAUUCAAUUUGAAUUCUUGCGGCGUCUUCAUAGCAUCCUAUUGCCAACCCUAAUUUGCUGCCAUGACUGAGUACUGGGUCAGCCAGGGCAACAAAUGGUGCGACUUUUGCAAAAUUUAUAUAUCAAACAACCCUUCAAGCAUCAGAAAUCAUGAGCUUGGUCAACGUCAUAAAGAUAAUGUUGCCAAGAGGCUGGCUGCUAUGAGAAAAGAGAAUAUUGCCAAGGAGAAAGAACAGAAAGAAACAGCUCGUGCCCUUGAGCAAAUUGAAGCAAAAGCACAGCGUAGCUAUCAAAAGGAUAAAGCAAAGUUUGAGGAAGCCAGAGAAUCGAAUGAAUUGGAUGCCCAAGAAUGGGAGUUUGACAGCAAUUCAGGCUAUUUCUACCAUAAAACAAAUGGAUUUUACUAUGAUCCCAAGUCUGCAUUUUACUAUUCAGAUGCCAUCGGAAAAUGGGCGACACAGGAAGAAGCAUAUGCCUCCCCUCACUUUACAUCUAUUGCUGGGCACAAUGGACCAGCUGUGAAGAAGGCCUUGUCAACUUCACAAUCCAAAUCAGAUGAAAAUAAAGCGAACAAAUCUUCACCUGGACCAGUUUUUACAACAACUCUGAAUCCCAUGAGAAAUGUGAAAGCCGCACCUUCAUCUCUUGCGGUUGGAAAGAGGAAAAGAACUGAUGAAAAAUCCAAGGUUAUAUCCGAUGAAGAAAAAGCAGCUCUCAAAGCAAGAGAGGCUGCAAGGAAAAGAGUACAGGAGAGGGAGAAACCUUUGCUUGGGCUUUACAGCAAGCCAUACUAAGGAUGGAAAAAUUUACUCUAACACCUGUGUCUUCCACCAGAAAUGAGGGUUGCGCUAGCUUCUUUUUCCUGAUACAUUUAUGAUUGUCAUUAACUUGGGUGUCCUAAUUCGGCAAGGGUUUCCAUGUUACUGUUGUACCAUGUAAAAUAUAACUGCUCCAAUUUUUUCACUACAUGCUAAUUUUCAGCCUUAUUUGAUGGGAGAGGAGGAAAGGAGAAUUGAAAAGUAUUCGUUAGGCUGAUGAAAGCAAGUUUACUCCCUGUUGCAGAAGCUUUUAGGAAACACAUCCAACUCUAGCAUCAAGACCAGUUGUUGGCUCAUCCAUAAAAAUAAUGGAAGGAUUUGCAACCAAUUCCACAGCAAUGGUAAGCCUCUUUCUCUGCUCUGUCGAUAAGCCAUCUAUUCCAGGAAGGCCUACUAUAAAAUGCCUCACUGGUUGGAGCUCCACCAGCUCUAAAAUUUCCUCAAUGAACAUCUGUAAGCCUCUGUUGACCCUGCGAUUCGUCUUCCAUAAUGUUAAGAGAAGAGGAAGUCGUGAAUCCAACCUCAGAAAAAGGGGAUAUCCAAUCUCCAACUGUAGAAUAUUCACCUUAUGUAGAGACUCAAUGGAAGAAAUUAUUUGAAGUGUGCCCAGCUUGUUCUCAUAAUGCUGAAGGGAAAAGGAAAGUCAGGACAUUUGACGGAGGCUGCACCAAAGAAGGAGGAUCCCAAGUUUGCUAAAUGGGAUGAGGAAGAUUUAAUGAUUAUGGCAUGGCUCUGGAAUUCAAUGAUUCUAGAAAUCAGUGACACCUGUAUAUUCCUUAAUUCGGCAAGAGAGAUCUAGGAUGUUGUAGAGAAAACCUACUCUAAGGCCAAAGAUGCUGCCCAAGUAUAUGAAGUAAAGAUAAAAAAACCUUGACAGCAUGCAAGGAAAUAAGACUGUUACUGAAUAUGCAAAUUAGCUUAAAUCUUUGUGGAUGGAAUUGGACCAUGACCAUUAUAGGGUCACAAAAACCAAGUGUUCUAAGGAUGCAGCAAUUCUCAAGGAAUACAUUGAACAAGAUAGGGUGUAUGACUUCCUUAUUAGGCUGAAUCCUGAAUUGGACCAAGUUAGGGUUCAAAUUUUGGGGAAGCAAAAGGUAUUGUGCUUCAAUGAGGUGGUGGUGAUUGUGAGAAGUGAAGAGAGUAGGAGGAGUCUCAUAUUAGAUAGUCUAACAAUGGAAAAAUUUGCUAUGAUGGCUGAACAAAUGAAAGGAGGAUCCACACAAACAGAGAAGAAAGGUGAUGGUCUUUGAUGCACCUAUUGUAAUAAGCCUCGCCAUACUCGAAACAAAUGCGGAAACUGCAUGAGAAACCUCCAAAAGGUGAAGAAAGCAAAUAUGAAGCUGCUGUUCAUGCUGAAACUACUACACACCUCAACCAAGAUGAGAUAGAAAGGCUGAGAACCUUUCUGAGCAAAUUGGAGAAACCUACAAGUGCAUGUUCCUUGCCAUACUCCAGAGCCACCGACCACGUGACACCAUUAGCCAAACUCUUCUCAUAUUUCCCAAAUUCCAGUAAUAAAAAAAUUGCCAUAGCUAACAGAACCUUAUAACUGCAGCCGGUCAUGGAAAUGUCCAGAUCAACCCCUCACUAAUCUUGAAAAAUGUCCUCCAUGUCCCAAAACUAUCCACCAACCUAGUUACUAUACAAAAACUCACAAAGGACCUGUCAUGUAAUGUUAUUUUCCACAACAAUCAUUGUAUUUUUCAGGACAAGGAUCUGGGAAGGACGAUUGGACAUGCUAGAGAAUGGAACCACCUUUACUUUCUUGAAGAUCCAAGUCUGUCUAGCCAAAACAGAAUUUCUCACUCCUUCAAAUCAGAAGUUGUGAUGACUAACAAAGAAAAGGUCAUACUGCAUCAUCGUUGGUUGGGCCCUUAAAUUCAAGGGAUCCUAGAAUAGAAUAGGGAGUUCUUAUGUUUUCUAAAAUAAGUAGGCCUGCUGUAUAUAUCUGUAUAAUGUCUCAAUGAAAUAAUAUACAGAUUUAACCUAUUUUUC